CAGAAACCUGUCGCAGAGGCCUGACGCUGCGCCAAGCCAAUCCAGGGCGGGCGGGGCGGAGCCUCCUGCUCGCCGGAGAACGCGAGGGAGUGAAGUGAAUGGUGGAGGCGACUCUCGAGGUAUGAAUGGGAGGUGUGUGACGCUAUUCUCUACGGCGCAAAAAGAAAUUAGAUUUAGCUACACUGCUGCCCCCGUAGAGAUCCUUAUCCCUUUGCAGCACAGCAGUGAAGCCUCGAUGCCAGCUACUUUGGAAUGGAGUGCUUUUCCAAACCCUGCAAGUUGAAAUAAAGCGGUCUCUUGACAGCCUGUAGUAGCUAUGCGAUUCAAGUGUCACCAGGACUCUCUGAGCAUCAGAUUGAAAAGAGGUCAAGGCUCAACUCUGUUUCUGAGCAUGGAGGAGGAGGACGACUACGACAGCAGCCAAGAAACAAGAGAGCUCUGCCCAUCAAGGGAAAGGCAGAUGACUGGUUUCCUGGCUCCAUGCCCACCUGGGGAAUCUCAAGUUCUUGAUCACUCUGCUUUUUCCCUACUGGUACAGUUGGUAUUUCCUGCUGCAGCAUCCUAAAAAUAAAGGGGAUGUCUACCUUCCACUCUGAUAAAGGAAACAA